rfam:Lepisosteus oculatus linkage group LG6, whole genome shotgun sequence.
AAGGUGGCAUAUGCAACAGCCAUGGACUGGUUUAUCGCAGUUUGCUACGCAUUU